CAAGUAGCGGAGCAUGUGGUUUAAUUCGAAGCAACGCGAAGAACCUUACCUAAGCUUGACAUCCUUUUGACCGAUGCCUAAUCGCAUUUUUCCCUUCUGGGACAGAAGUGACAGGUGGUGCAUGGUUGUCGUCAGCUCGUGUCGUGAGAUGUUGGGUUAAGUCCCGCAACGAGCGCAACCCUUGCCUUUAGUUGCCAGCAUUAAGUUGGGCACUCUAGAGGGACUGCCAGGGAUAACCUGGAGGAAGGUGGGGAUGACGUCAAAUCAUCAUGCCCCUUAUGCUUAGGGCUACACACGUGCUACAAUGGGUGGUACAGAGGGCAGCCAAGUCGUGAGGCGGAGCUAAUCCCUUAAAGCCAUUCUCAGUUCGGAUUGUAGGCUGAAACUCGCCUACAUGAAGCUGGAGUUACUAGUAAUCGCAGAUCAGAAUGCUGCGGUGAAUGCGCUCCCGGGUCUUGUACACACC
rnacentral:rRNA from 1 species